UACGUAGGUGGCGAGCGUUGUCCGGAUUUAUUGGGCGUAAAAGGCUUGUAGGUGGCCACGUCAGUCCGGCUGGGAAAUCUCCCGGCUCAACUGGGAGGGGUCAGUCGAUACUGGCGGGCUCGAGGCCGGUAGGGGGAAGCGGAAUUCCCGGGGUAGUGGUGGAAUGCGUAGAUAUCGGGAGGAACACCAGUGGCGAAGGCGGCUUCCUGGACCGGUACUGACGCUGAGACGCGAAAGCGUGGGGAGCGAACAGG
rnacentral:rRNA from 1 species